CGCGGUGCUGCUGAUGUUGGUAGUAAUAUCCGGAAGGGAAGGAGCCAGCCGGAUUCAAAGUUGUGAAGAGAAUUGAUUGCACACAUUUGAGGAAAAUUUAAGUUCUUCCUUGCAAGUCUGCCCUAAUCCUUCCUAAUGAAUAAGGACUUCAGAAUAAUACAAGCUUAGUGCCCCCGUCAAGGAGCUGAGGUGGACUCUGGCCUGGCCGGUGUGUCUCAUCGCAAAACUGCACCGCUAGUAGCAGGAUCCGAAAAGGACCAGCGAAGAGAAGAGACACCGCAGAAACGGUGUGAUCGCUCGGCUUUACAGGGCAAGUCUGUGUGCGGCUCCACUCCGCGCGGUCUUGAUGAAGAGGAUACUGACGAGGCGGAGGCGCGGGCUCCAGGGUUCUGGUAACUUCCGAAGGAGAGAGUUAGCAGUGUGUCUCCAAAGCUGAGGCACGAAGCCUUGGAAAUGCGGUCUGAAAGCCUGCCAGCUGAUUCUGAUGUGCAGCCACAGAACUGGUAAAUUCAGUAAAAGUUAUGCUUGUCAGCAGCACAUCUCCUUGGCUCUGUCUUGGAAAUUCAGUAAAAGUCAUGCUUAUCAGCAGCACAUCUCUGCCUUGGCUACUGCUGCCCUUCGAGCUGCAUGAAAUAACUCACAACUAUAAGCACCAGAGAGCAAUAGACUGUACUAUGAACAGAAGAAAAGGCAGAGUGUGGGGGAGGAGAGCCAGGGCAUGAAUCCACCUUCUUUGCCUGAAUCGUCCAUGCAGAAUGCACAUCCGAGUAGCCCCGCCCUAUGGGAUGAGCCUGCAGUCAUUCCACGCCCUGCCUGGGAUCCAGCGAGUUUGCUCAGCCUAGGAAGUAACAGUAAGAAGCCCACUCAGCCCGCAGGCCCAAGCACAGAGGAAAAGCUCACCAAUAUAUCCCGUUUGAUUCCUGUGUGUGUUCUUAAUUUCAGAACCCAGAGUAGAGAAUGGAGAGAAUGGUAUGAUUCACUGAGUUCUUCAACCCCAUUCAUGGAAAUUACUC